rnacentral:rRNA from 1 species
AAUGGAGGAAACUCUGAUGCAGCGAUGCCGCGAGAGUGAAGAAGGCCCUUGGGUUGUAAAGCUCUUUCGUCGGGGAAGAAAAUGACUGUACCCGAAUAAGAAGGUCCGGCUAACUUCGUGCCAGCAGCCGCGGUAAUACGAAGGGACCUAGCGUAGUUCGGAAUUACUGGGCUUAAAGAGUUCGUAGGUGGUUGAAAUAGUUGGUGGUGAAAUCCCAGAGCUUAACUCUGGAACUGCCAUCAAAACUUUUCAGCUAGAGUUUGAUAGAGGAAAGCAGAAUUUCUAGUGUAGAGGUGAAAUUCGUAGAUAUUAGAAAGAAUACCAAUUGCGAAGGCAGCUUUCUGGAUCAUUACUGACACUGAGGAACGAAAGCAUGGGUAGCGAAGAGGAUUAGAUACCCUCGUAGUCCAUGCCGUAAACGAUGUGUGUUAGACGUUGGAAAUUUAUUUUCAGUGUCGCAGCGAAAGCAAUAAACACACCGCCUGGGGAGUACGACCGCAAGGUUAAAACUCAAAUGAAUUGACGGGGACCCGCACAAGUAGUGGAGCAUGUGGUUUAAUUCGAAGAUACGCGCAGAACCUUACCAACACUUGACAUGUUCGUCGCGACUUUAAGAGAUUAAAGUUUUCGGUUCGGCCGGACGAAACACAGGUGCUGCAUGGCUGUCGUCAGCUCGUGUCGUGAGAUGUUGGGUUAAGUCCCACAACGAGCGCAACCCUCACUUUUAGUUGCCAUCAUUAAGUUGGGCACUCUGAAAGAACUGCCAGUGAUAAGCUGGAGGAAGGUGGGGAUGA